GUUUUCAUAAAAUUGAAAUAGUAAAAAUAUUGUUGGUUAAUAAUUUGGAGGAUGUAGAGUUUAUAAACAGGGCAUGAGAGAAGAGAGAAGGCUUGGAUUCCUGGGAAAGUUGCUGACUUCAUACCAGGAAAUGUUCAGGAUGGGCGAAAGGAUUUACAGUAAGCUUGGAAGAAAUCUCCCUCUGCAAAUUGCUACCAUCAACAAGGCAUCUGUCUUAUUGGACUGUCAAUGUGCAAGCCAUCUCUUCUGAAACUGGUUGUGAACAUAUGAAUCAGGAAAUGUCACUGGGAGUAGGACGGAAACUGAAAUUGGCUGAAUUGUUCUUCCCCAGGGCAAGUAGAAAUGAGAAUAUUGAAACAGCUCUGAGCUCCACAUCUGCCCAGGAAGACUUUUUCCAUAAGAAACAUUGUGCAUUGGAGCAAGAAGUUCCAGGAUGGAGUUUCUCGAGAGAUGUGUGGGUUAUUGACUGAGAAUUAAGCACCUGGACACUCUCCAUCACAGAAAUUGAAGUCAACACCCUGACUGUUCUGUAAUUCACUGGCUUUGCAGCAAAUCAGCUUUAUACUAUAGCUGAAAAUCAAAGAGUCUUCCUAUAAUUAAAUCAUUGUUUCUACUUUAUUAACAAUGUAUUUAAAAUUAAAAAUAACAGACUAAUAUUUUUAAAGCAGUAUUACUUCUUAUUCUCUACAAGGAAAAAUAUUGCAUAAAUAAUUUC